AGGCAUGCAGUCGACGAUCCUUGUACUUGUAUAAGGAGAGUGGCAAACGGGGUAGCAACAGGUAGGAACGUACCCACAAGUCAGGAAUAACUGCGAGAAAUCGUAGCUAAUACCUGAUAGUCUCUACGGAGUAAAGAUUUAUCGCUUGUGGAACGGCCUGCUUAGUAUCAGCUUGUUGGUAGUGUAAUAGACUACCAAGGCUAUGACGCUUAGGGGAGGUGAGAGCCUGACCCCCACCAUUGGGACUGCGACACGGCCCAAACUCCUACGGGAGGCUGCAGUCGAGAAUCUUCCGCAAUGCACGAAAGUGUGACGGAGCGACGCCGCGUGAUGGACGAAGUGCUUCGGUAUGUAAACAUCUUUUAUAAGUGAAGAAGUAUAUUGACAUUAGCUUAUGAAUAAGGGGCUCCUAAUCUCGUGCCAGCAGGAGCGGUAAUACGAGAGCCCCAAGCGUUAUCCGGAAUUACUGGGCGUAAAGGGUCCGUAGGUGGUUGUAUUAGUCGGUCGUUAAAGACCCAAGCUCAACUUGGGGAAGGCGACCGAAACGGUACGACUUGAGUAUGUGAGGGGUGAACGGAACUCAAGGUGUAGGGGUGAAAUCCGUUGAUAUCUUGGGGAACACCAAAAGCGAAGGCAGUUCACUGGCACAUUACUGACACUGAGGGACGAAACCCUGGGUAGCGAAUGGGAU
rnacentral:rRNA from 1 species